GGAGUGUGACAUUUCUGCGAGAAUGCUUAAAUACCGAUUUCCCGCAGGAACAAUGGCGCUGUCUUCAGUGGCACAGUGGAGCAGCUCUGAAGAUGCAAAGAUACACGAAAAAACUUCCAGAACAUCUGGGAGAAUAUUUAAUGGAAAAUCGCUUGGUUAAAACCUGACACUCUUAACAGGUAUGUGUUGUUUUAGUACUUUAUGAUUGAGCAUACCAUUUAAUCCACACCUAAACUAAAUCAAAUUUUUUUUGUCAGUGAACAGCGUUCUGAGUGUGGACGAGUAGCCAGUGAAGAUAAUGAAUGUCGAACGUGACUGACUAGCAGCUUCAUUUUGAAUGAGGGUCGCUGUCUGCCCAUUGAUAGAGGCCAGAUUGUCUUGGAAGUUCCAAAGUUGCAACGAUUUCUUUAGUUGAAUCCAUGGACAUGAAACCCACAGAUAUAGAGGGUUGGCCCAGUGCAGUGGCUCACGCCUGUAAUCCCAGCACUUUGGGAGGCCAAGGCGGGUGGAUCACCUGAGGUCAGAAGCUUGAGACAAGCCUGGCCAACAUGGGUACUGCUUUCUCUUGCUGCAGCUUGCUUCCUCCCUCAGGUAUGAAGUUAAGGUAACAUGAAGGAGGAUAUUGAAUGUUCCUAACACAAAGAAAUGAUAAAUGUUUGAGAUGGUGGAUGUGCUAAUUGCCCUGAUCUGAUGACUAUACAUUAUAUAUAUUGAAACAUCAGUAUGUACCCCAUGAAUAUGUACAAUUAUAUGUCAACUUAAAAACAUUUAAAAGUAAAAAAAAAAAAAAA
rnacentral:lncRNA from 1 species